rnacentral:tRNA from 1 species
CAAAAAGUAGCUUACACAAAGCAUUCGGCUUACAACCGAACGACAUUAUACUGAUCUUUUUGA